rnacentral:rRNA from 1 species
AUACGGAGGAUCCGAGCGUUAUCCGGAUUUAUUGGGUUUAAAGGGUGCGCAGGCGGGAGAUUAAGUCGGCGGUGAAAUUUUGCAGCUCAACUGUAAAAGUGCCUUCGAAACUGGUUUUCUUGAGUAUGGAUGAAGUAGGCGGAAUUUGUGGUGUAGCGGUGAAAUGCAUAGAUAUCACGAGGAACUCCGAUUGCGCAGGCAGCUUACUAAGCCAUAACUGACGCUCAUGCACGAAGGCGUGGGGAUCAAACAGGAUUAGAUACCCUGGUAGUCCACGCAGUAAACGAUGAUUACUCGCUGUUUGCGAUACAAUGUAAGCGGCUAAGCGAAAGCAUUAAGUAAUCCACCUGGGGAGUACGUUCGCAAGAAUGAAACUCAAAGGAAUUGACGGGG